CCUGCAUUCCAAGGCACACGCCAGGAUCCAGGUGUCCUUCACAGGUAUGGCAUAAACAUCAGGGUUAGCCAUUACUGGAACACUAAACAAACAUUCAUCAAGGAACACAGGAUCAUUCUCAAGCGUUCUAGAACACAACUACUAACUAGCUCGGCCUGGUACCACGGAUUUGUGCUACGGCACCAGGAGAGCAAAAUCAACACAGAAAAAAGCAAGAAAACUCAGAGAAAAAAUAAAUCUACAAUGAACACAUCAGUAUGUAUAUUUCUACAAACUUGUGUGAGAAGUUCUGUAAGAUCAAGUCCUAAAAGCAGAAUUGCUGGCUCAAAGGAUAUGAGUAACAUCAGCUGACUUGAAGUUAAGAAGAUGGGCCUCCAUAAUCAGGGUGGGCCUCAUCCAAUCAGUAAAAGGCCCUAAGUGCGAAACUAAGGCUUCCCUGAAGAAGAAAUGUCCACCUAACAGACAGACCCCUGUGGAUUUCAGACUUGCCUAGCCAGCCCCAGCAAUUAUAUGAGAAAAAAAGGAAAUCACUAAGAAGUUAUGAAAUUUUCCUAUGUCAAGCAGUAAAACAGCCAACCAGAAUCUGAA